AGUGAACGCUGGCGGUAGGCCUAACACAUGCAAGUCGAACGGCAGCACGGUAAGAGCUUGCCCUUACGGGUGGCGAGUGGCGGACGGGUGAGGAAUACAUCGGAAUCUACUUUUUCGUGGGGGAUAACGUAGGGAAACUUACGCUAAUACCGCAUACGACCUACGGGUGAAAGCAGUGGAUCUUCGGACCUUUCGCGAUUGAAUGAGCCGAUGUCGGAUUAGCUAGUUGGCGGGGUAAAGGCACACCAAGGCGACGAUCCGUAGCUGGUCUGAGAGGAUGAUCAGCCACACUGGAACUGAGACACGGUCCAGACUCCUACGGGAGGCAGCAGUAGGGAAUAUUGGACAAUGGGCGCAAGCCUGAUCCAGCCAUACCGCGUGGGUGAAGAAGGCCUUCGGGUUGUAAAGCCCUUUUGUUGGGAAAGAAAAGCAGCAGGUUAAUACCCCGCUGUUCUGACGGUACCCAAAGAAUAAGCACCGGCUAACUUCGUG
rnacentral:rRNA from 1 species